rnacentral:rRNA from 1 species
UACGUAGGGUGCAAGCGUUAAUCGGAAUUACUGGGCGUAAAGCGUGCGCAGGCGGUUUCGUAAGUCUGUCGUGAAAUCCCCCGGGCUUAACCUGGGAAUGGCGAUGGAGACUGCGAGGCUAGAGUUUGGCAGAGGGGGGUAGAAUUCCACGUGUAGCAGUGAAAUGCGUAGAGAUGUGGAGGAACACCGAUGGCGAAGGCAGCCCCCUGGGUCAAAAACUGACGCUCAUGCACGAAAGCGUGGGGAGCAAACAGG